rnacentral:rRNA from 1 species
UACGGGGGGGCAAGGCGUUGUUCGGAAUUACUGGGCGUAAAGGGCUCGUAGGUGGCCAACUAAGUCAGACGUGAAAUCCCUCGGCUUAACCGGGGAACUGCGUCUGAUACUGGAUGGCUAGAGAUUGGGAGAGGGAUGCGGAAUUCCGAGGUGUAGCGGUGAAAUGCGUAGAUAUCGGGAGGAACAUCAGUGGCGAAGGCGGCUACCUGGCCCAAUACUGACACUCCAGGUGCGACAGCGUGGGGAGCAAACAGG